GCAAUUAAAGUCAAGAGCUAAGGAGGGAGGGAGAGGGUUUAGAAAUACCAGCAUAAUAAGUAGUAUGACUGGGUGCUCUGUAAAUUAACUCAAUUAGACAAAGCCUGACUUAACGGGGGAAGAUGGUGAGAAGCGCUACCCUCAUUAAAUUUGGUUGUUAGAGGCGCUUCUAAGGAAAUUAAAUCUGUUAGUUGUUUGAAUCACAUAAAAUUGUGUGUGCACGUUCAUGUACACAUGUGCACACGUGUAACCUCUGUGAUUCUCGUGGGUAUUUUUUUAAGAAGAGAGGAAUAGAAAGCAAAGAAAAAUAAAAAAUACUGAAAAGAAAAAAGACUGAAAGAGUAGAAGAUAAGGAGAAAAGUACGAUAGAGACAAGGAAAGUAAGAGAGAGAGAGAGAGCUCUCCCAAUUAUAAAGCCAUGAGCCCCCUUUGGUGGGGGUUUCUGCUCAGUUGCUUGGGCUGCAAAAUCCUGCCAGGAGCCCAGGCUCAGUUCCCCCGAGUCUGCAUGACGGUGGACAGCCUAGUGAACAAGGAGUGCUGCCCACGCCUGGGUGCAGAGUCGGCUAAUGUCUGUGGCUCUCAGCAAGGCCGGGGUCAGUGCACAGAGGUGCGAGCCGACACAAGGCCCUGGAGUGGUCCCUACAUCCUACGAAACCAGGAUGACCGUGAGCUGUGGCCAAGAAAAUUCUUCCACCGGACCUGCAAGUGCACAGGAAACUUUGCCGGCUAUAAUUGUGGAGACUGCAAGUUUGGCUGGACCGGUCCCAACUGCGAGCGGAAGAAACCACCAGUGAUUCGGCAGAACAUCCAUUCCUUGAGUCCUCAGGAAAGAGAGCAGUUCUUGGGCGCCUUAGAUCUAGCGAAGAAGAGCGUACACCCCGACUACGUAAUCACCACACAACACUGGCUGGGCCUGCUUGGGCCCAAUGGAACCCAGCCGCAGUUUGCCAACUGCAGUGUUUAUGAUUUUUUUGUGUGGCUCCAUUAUUAUUCUGUUAGAGAUACAUUAUUAGGUGGGUUUUUUCCUUGGCUGAAGGUAUAUUAUUACAGGUUUGUGAUUGGGUUGAGGGUAUGGCAGUGGGAAGUAAUUUCAUGCAAGUUAAUUAAGAGAGCAACCACAAGGCAGCCUUAGGUUUAUGAAAGUCGUAGAAUUAUCAAAUACCGCCUGGAGUUAGAAGGAAGCAGUUUCUUCCUGUGCAUUGGAUGCAGACACUUUAAAUGUUCUCUCCUCUACCGUAUGUUCUUGGUUCAAAGUGUAAACUUUUCUCUGUGAAGCUGUUAAUCAUCAAAGACGUGAGUUGGUGAGGUGGAGGCGAAUUCCUUUUGAUUUCAGAAGAAAACAUUUGCGAAUCUGGCCAUGGAAGCCCUCUCUGACCUUUUCUCCAAAUUAGAGGAAUUAACUGAACAUGUGCUAAGGCACAUGAAGCUUCUUUGUGCGGAAUUAGAGUGCUCAUGUUGGGAGUGGGCAUCUUGUUAAACUCACAGGAUAGAUCAACUUUGGAUGGAUUUUAGACAGUCUAUCACAUGAUAGACUUUCAGAUAAUCAUUUAUGGUACUCCUGCAUGGUCCGGAAUCCCCAGGUUUCUUGGAGCUUUAUUGUCAAGGAAAAGUACAAGCUUAGCCACAGCAAUGUAGAGUUUCUGCUGCUUAGCUCUUUGCAACACAGUCAUGUUGGAUGCUUGAGGAAUUGGUGACCUGCCCUUCCAAGUCUUAAAAAUUGGGGUCUGGGUAGGACUUGGAAUGAGGGGGUUGUCUGUUACAAACUUCAUGGAUCAAGUAGGUUCAGCUUUGUCCUUAUUUUUCAGUCAAAGGAAAGCCAUAGACACCAAUGUAUUCCAGGAGGGCUUGACUCCAUCCUAGAUUCUUCCCAUAGCAGUUCUUGAAUGCAUGGCUGCACGUGCACCUCUCCCCAUUUUUGGGGUCCUUCAUUGGGGUCAGGAUGAAUGAAGACAUCAAGCUCACUUUGAAGAGCAAGAUUCUGAUUUGGACAGGUUCAUCCUUCUGCUCAUCACUUGUUCCCCUUCAAUUGAUACCCUCUCGUUGUCGGGUUCUGAGAAUUUGAAACCUUGCUCUGAAUUGAACAUGAAAAAGGGCCGUGUAGCCAACAUCAGGGACAGCAGUGCUUUUCUCAGUGUGAGUCUUUUAAAACUUGCCUUACAGGUAAGCAUCUGUCUGUCUUUAUCGAUAGAUAAGGAGGCUCUUUUGGCUAUAAACCUUUAUAGUUUUCCUGUUAUCACUCUGAGGAAUUAUUGCUUUAUGAGAGAGUACUCUCUCAAGAGGAAAAGAAAGUCCUAGUUUCUGGUCAUAGCUACGAAUUAAAUUUAUAUUCAUGUCUGUUCAGCUCUCUGAAGUUGUUAUAGGUAUUUUGGACAAGAACUAAAGUUAGCUGAAGUUUCCACAUAACCAUCAAAGCUGUUAUGAAAAAGGGAAGAAGGAUGGACCAGGCAGUAAGCAGGUCAUUAAAUCGUCCAGAGCUUUUCACUAAAAUUGGCAGUUCCAGUGUCCAGCCUAAAUGGCUUGAAUGUAUUUUUCUCUCUUCUGGUCUCAGCGAACAUGCUUGUCAGCUAGUAGUUAUAACAGAUUGAUGGGUGAGGCAAAAUACGCGAAAGUUCUUUUUGGUUACAUAAAUACUGCAUUAGGACUAAGUGCAGUUGAAGUUACAAUAUUAUUAAUUAAUCUCUCCCUUUUAAAUUUAUAUCUUUGUGAAGCGUAGGUUAGCAAAUGCCUUUAAAAAAUAUAUUUCAUUUAGGUCUUAAUGAUCUAUUCUUUUGGAUAGUCUAUUUCACCUGAAUGGAUUGUUGCUUACAAAUUAAAUAUGUAUCAGGGGCUCCCAAUCCUGAAAGUCACCUGAAUUUCCUGGAUCUCUGCUAGAAAUCAACCUUUUAAGAGAUAAAGGAGGGUUUAUCCUAAAAGUACUAGUUACUUCUGAAAUUCAUGUCAUUACUAUUGCUUUUGGAGAUAUAAAUAACAACAAAACUUUUUUUCUUACUACUAUAAAACAUCAUGGACUUAUUGGUUCUAUAGAUACAGCCCAGGUAAGAUUUAACAUUUUAAAAAAUUCUAUUCUGUCAUCUCUAAUAUGUUUCCCAAUUGUUUCAGGACCAGGACGCCCCUACAGGGCCAUAGAUUUCUCACAUCAAGGACCUGCAUUUGUUACCUGGCACCGGUACCAUUUGUUGUGUCUGGAAAGAGAUCUCCAGCGACUCAUUGGCAAUGAGUCUUUUGCUUUGCCCUACUGGAACUUUGCCACUGGGAGGAACGAGUGUGAUGUGUGUACAGACCAGCUGUUUGGGGAAGCGAGACCAGACGAUCCGACUCUGAUUAGUCGGAACUCAAGAUUCUCCAGCUGGGAAACUGUCUGUGAUAGGUAAUGGCUCCUGUACCUGCAAUGGCAUCCAGAGAUUGUCUUUUCUGAUGUCUGAGACAUGGAGGAGAAGGCACUUUAUAGUGCUGUUUCUUAUGCAUGUGGUGUCCUAUUUACAUGUUUCUAAAAACAGUUUUCCUCUGGGAGGUGGGAUUUCAAAAAUUCAAAGCUCUUUAAUU
rnacentral:sRNA from 1 species